UACAGAGGGGGCAAGCGUUGUUCGGAAUUACUGGGCGUAAAGGGCGCGUAGGCGGCCUUCUAAGUCGAACGUGAAAUCCCCGGGCUCAACCCGGGAACUGCGUCCGAGACUGAAAGGCUCGAAUCCGGGAGAGGGAUGCGGAAUUCCAGGUGUAGCGGUGAAAUGCGUAGAUAUCUGGAGGAACACCGGUGGCGAAGGCGGCAUCCUGGACCGGUAUUGACGCUGAGGCGCGAAAGCCAGGGGAGCAAAGCGGG
rnacentral:rRNA from 1 species